rnacentral:rRNA from 1 species
UACGUAGGGUGCAAGCGUUGUCCGGAAUCAUUGGGCGUAAAGCGCGCGCAGGCGGAUCCUGCAAGUCCGGAGUGAAAUCUCACCGCUCAACGGUGAGGCUGCUUUGGAUACUGCGGAUCUGGAGACCGGUAGAGGCUGGUAGAAUUGCAGGUGUAGCGGUGGAAUGCGUAGAGAUCUGCAAGAAUACCCGUGGCGAAGGCGGCCAGCUGGGCCGGUUCUGACGCUGAGGCGCGAAAGCGUGGGGAGCAAACAGG